CCUACGGGAGGCAGCAGUAGGGAAUCUUCCACAAUGGGCGAAAGCCUGAUGGAGCAACGCCGCGUGGGUGAAGAAGGUCUUCGGAUCGUAAAACCCUGUUGUUAGAGAAGAAAGUGCGUGAGAGUAACUGUUCACGUUUCGACGGUAUCUAACCAGAAAGCCACGGCUAACUACGUGCCAGCAGCCGCGGUAAUACGUAGGUGGCAAGCGUUAUCCGGAUUUAUUGGGCGUAAAGGGAACGCAGGCGGUCUUUUAAGUCUGAUGUGAAAGCUUUCGGCUUAACCGGAGUAGUGCAUUGGAAACUGGGAGACUUGAGUGCAGAAGAGGAGAGUGGAACUCCAUGUGUAGCGGUGAAAUGCGUAGAUAUAUGGAGGAACACCAGUGGCGAAAGCGGCUCUCUGGUCUGUAACUGACGCUGAGGUUCGAAAGCGUGGGUAGCAAACAGGAUUAGAUACCCGGGUAGUC
rnacentral:rRNA from 1 species